UGGGGAAUAUUGGACAAUGGGCGCAAGCCUGAUCCAGCCAUGCCGCGUGUGUGAAGAAGGCCUUUUGGUUGUAAAGCACUUUAAGCGAGGAGGAGGCUACUUGGAUUAAUACUCUAGGAUAGUGGACGUUACUCGCAGAAUAAGCACCGGCUAACUCUGUGCCAGCAGCCGCGGUAAUACAGAGGGUGCGAGCGUUAAUCGGAUUUACUGGGCGUAAAGCGUGCGUAGGCGGCUUUUUAAGUCGGAUGUGAAAUCCCUGAGCUUAACUUAGGAAUUGCAUUCGAUACUGGGAAGCUAGAGUAUGGGAGAGGAUGGUAGAAUUCCAGGUGUAGCGGUGAAAUGCGUAGAGAUCUGGAGGAAUACCGAUGGCGAAGGCAGCCAUCUGGCAUAAUACUGACGCUGAGGUACGAAAGCAUGGGGAGCAAACAGG
rnacentral:rRNA from 1 species